GGGGCUUUCCUCCCGCAGUUGCGGGCUCGGAGUGUGGGUCAGGAGCUUCCAGCUGCGCCUGAAGUUGCUCCCCCUGACACCACAUCUAGUGGUGCACAAUCCUGAGCCUCUAAAGCCAGUCGCUGACAACAUCCCAGCAAAGUAUCGGUUCUCAUCCUGUACAAAGAGAGAAGACACACUACCCAUGGCAUUAAAGGAAAGAGAAUCCAAUUUCUAGGCUCUACAGAGACCUGAAGAGAAAUGUCCAUGGAACUGCUGUUUUAAUGUGGGUGCACUGAAGCAAAGCUACAGAGGAGCCUGGCCUACAGCAGCAGAAAUAUCUGAUACACUGCUCCAAAUUAUGGAAUUCCCUUUACACAGGAAAAAAUGAUGAUAUCAUCUUAUUAUGAGACACCACACUGUAAUGGAUGUGUCUGGGAGUAGAGUGAAGGUUCCCUCAUGUCACGUUCUUUUGCUCCAAGGGUGUUUGACCUCGUAUUAGGAGAUGGUUUUCUAGGCAAAUAUUAACUAAACCCUCUGCUCAGUAUAAGCAUGGAUAGAGAUGGUUUCUCACACACACAGGCUUGACCCAGACUCGAUUUUUGCAACCCCACGUCUGUCUUGGGAUGCUGAAGCUCUGCCAAGCUCUCUGGUUCUCAUGCAGUGCAGCAGCAAGGCUCACCUGUUCCUUACCUGCUCCCCCAAACCUGACCAAACUCAGCCCUCUUGUCACUCCCACUCAGCUAAUACAGCAUGUCUAAAUACAACCACAACCUAAUUAUCUUAUUGUCUAACUGUAAUAAUCAUUUUCAUACAGAUGAUUUAGUAUCUAUCUCUGUCUAGGUUGAUUUCUCUCCCACAAAAUAUGAUGGCAUUGACAUAGUUAUGUACCCUUACGGUAUGAAACAAGUCUAUUUAGUGGAUUGCAUUUGAUUCUUUGAACAUGAGCAUGGGCUGCUAUCUCUGAAAGCUCCCUCCUUUAUUAUUAUAGAAAGCAAAAUUC